rnacentral:tRNA from 1 species
GGAUUGUGGCUCAGUGGUAGAGCACUUGCCUAGCACGUGUGAGGCCCUGGGUUCCAUCCUCAGCACCA